GAUGAACGCUGGCGGCGUGCCUAAUACAUGCCAGUCGAGCGAACAGACGAGGAGCUUGCUCCUCUGACGUUAGCGGCGGACGGGUGAGUAACACGUGGAUAACCUACCUAUAAGACUGGGAUAACUUCGGGAAACCGGAGCUAAUACCGGAUAAUAUAUUGAACCGCAUGGUUCAAUAGUGAAAGACGGUUUUGCUGUCACUUAUAGAUGGUUCCGCGCCGCAUUAGCUAGUUGGUAAGGUAACGGCUUACCAAGGCAACGAUGCGUAGCCGACCUGAGAGGGUGAUCGGCCACACUGGAACGGAGACACGGUCCAGACGCCUACGGGAGGCAGCAGUAGGGAAUCUUCCGCAAUGGGCGAAAGCCUGACGGAGCAACGCCGCGUGAGUGAUGAAGGUCUUCGGAUCGUAAAACUCUGUUAUUAGGGAAGAACAAAUGUGUAAGUAACUAUGCACGUCUUGACGGUACCUAAUCAGAAAGCCACGGCUAACUACGUG
rnacentral:rRNA from 1 species